GGGCGGUUAGCUCGUCAGUUGAGCGUGGCGCUAACAACACCAAGGUCGUGGGUUCGAUUCCCGUUCGGUCCC
rnacentral:tRNA from 1 species